GCAAAUGUUUUUAAAAUCCUAGGAAAACUACAGGAAUAAAAUAAAGUUGAUGAGACUUUCUUCAUAAGAUUCUUCAUGUUGAUUUUAGAUGAUGGGAAAAGGGUGGAAAAAGAAAACAUUUUCCCAAGAAGACUUGCUAGAAUUACUUGAAAAGAAGCUGGGCUGGCCCACUUUGUGGCAGAAAAUCGGAAUAAGCAAUUUUAUCGGCAAAAAAAUAAACUAUCCAGUGGGAAAUGUUCCAGUAGAGGCAACAAUGAAACAAACAAACU